CUACGGGUGGCUGCAGUGGGGAAUAUUGCACAAUGGAGGAAACUCUGAUGCAGCAACGCCGCGUGGAGGAUGACACUUUUCGGAGCGUAAACUCCUUUUAUAUAGGAAGAAGAUGACGGUACUAUAUGAAUAAGCGCCGGCUAACUCCGUGCCAGCAGCCGCGGUAAUACGGAGGGCGCAAGCGUUACUCGGAAUCACUGGGCGUAAAGAGCGUGUAGGCGGAUUAAAAAGUCAGAAGUGAAAUCCUAUAGCUUAACUAUAGAACUGCUUCUGAAACUCUGAAUCUAGAAUAUGGGAGAGGUAGAGGGAAUUUCUGGUGUAGGGGUAAAAUCCGUAGAGAUCAGAAGGAAUACCGAUUGCGAAGGCGAUCUACUAGAACAUUAUUGACGCUGAGACGCGAAAGCGUGGGGAGCAAACAGGAUUAGAUACCCCUGUAGUC
rnacentral:rRNA from 1 species